rnacentral:tRNA from 2 species
GCGAAUGUGGUGCAGCGGCAAGCAUCCCUGGCUUCCAACCAGGAGACACGAGUUCGAGUCUCGUCUUUCGCUCCA